AUGAAAUUGGUCAAGUAAUCUUUGUUCAGAUAACUCAACAAAUCUUUUAAUUUUAUAGUGCUGUGCAGAAAUGGCAUAUCUAGUUUAUAUGGUGGUUAUGUUAAGAUCUUUCUGUGUUAGCCACUAAUAUUUAUUUUGUGUUGUACAGGACAAAGAUACUGACAGAAUCUUACAAUAUAAGAGAAAGAGAUAAAAUGUGAAAGUCAAAGGAGAGGCAACUUCACUGAAUUUUUGUGUGCUUUGUGGGCAUUGUGGAAGAAUCAAUUUUUAGGAGGUAUUUGAGUAAUAUGGUGACUUGAUGAGCUGGACUAGGGAGCCUAUACUGCAGUUAAGAGUCAGGAAAAGAAAAAAGAAACAAACAGGCCUUGUAUUCUAGAGUGUAGGGAGCCAAAGUUCAGCAGACAAAACAAUGUCUGAAAUGUUGUCUGUAGGUAGCUGUGUGUAAGGCCAUGAGAUUGGGGAUGAGAAUUUUAAGCUCAGUGCAGCAUGCAGAUAAAUGCCAGUGGAGAGAUUCAAAGAUCUGGGUGUUGUGCUCAGGUUGACAGGCAAGGAAGAUCGCUUUUCAGCAAGGUAUUCUCCAAAGCACUGGUUUUCAACCAGGGGUAUGUGUACCCUUGGGGGUAUGCAGAGCUCUUCUAGGAAUUACAUCAAUUCAUCUAGAUAUUUGCCUUAUUUUACAACAAGCUACAUGAAAAAGCACUAGCAACGUCUGUAUAUAAUUAUAUGGUAAAAAUGAGAGAGCCAUUUUUCAGUAAUAGUGUUCUGUACAUUUUUUUUUAUUUUUAUGUCUGAUUUUGUAAGCAAGUAGUUUUUAAGUUAGGUGAAAUUUGGGGGUAUGCAAGACAAAUAUGACUCCUGAAUGGGGUAUAGUAGUCUGGAAAGGUUGCGAGUCACUGCUCCGAAGCAUAUAUUUGGGAAGAAAACUGUUUUUGUUUUUGUUUUUUUCUUUAGUGAUGUUCUUAGUAUGUGACUGCUGGAAGGGAUUACUUUUCUAGGAUAAGGCAGAGCUUGGAGGAGAGAGAGAAGCCAUUCAACAUGUUAAGCUACUGGGAGUAUACAGUUUUGUAGCUGCGCUGGUCCCAGGAUAUUAGAAAGACCAGGUGGGUGAGGUAGUAUCUUUUAUUGGACAAAUUACUGUGGUGAGAGAGACGCUUUCAAGCUUAAACAAAGCUCUUCUUACCAACAGAAGUUGGUCCUAGGGAUGUAAAAUGUUUACUGGUUAACCGAUAAGCAUUAGUCUUACUGGUUAACCCACCUUAACGGUUAACCCUCCGGCCAGAGCGGCCCCAGCAGCCCUGUGCCGCCCAGCCAGAGUGGCCCCAGUGGCCCCCGUUUAAAUAGUUGAACUUGAAUCGUUUAAACAGUUAACUUUUUAAACAAUAUUUACAUCCAUAGUUGGUCCCAUAAAAAAAAUCUCACUCACCUUGUCUCUCUACUGGGAGUAUAAGCAGAGAUGAGUAGGAGUACCUUUGUGUGUGAAGGUGUUGAUGGUGCCAUCAAUGAAUUCUUUGCAAUUGUCUAUAGUUCAGAGGUGCUAAAGAGCUGAUGGGGCUGUAUUUGUCCCCCAUUUUCCCUUUUUUGGGUUCUGACCAUUGGUACCGAGAACAUUCCCUGAAAUUUUGAAAUUGAUUGGAUGUGGUGGUCAAAAGUUAUUGUUACAUACAGAAAUGACAUUGAAUGGAGUAUAAAGCCUUUGCGAGCUUGGCCAAUUAUAGUUGUAAAAUAAAGAAAUUCGUUCUAAUUUAUAGUUU